GACGUAGGGCGCAAGCGUUGUCCGGAUUUAUUGGGCGUAAAGAGCUCGUAGGCGGCCUGUCGCGUCGACCGUGAAAACCCGCAGCUCAACUGCGGGCUUGCGGUCGAUACGGGCAGGCUGGAGUUCGGUAGGGGAGACUGGAAUUCCUGGUGUAGCGGUGAAAUGCGCAGAUAUCAGGAGGAACACCGGUGGCGAAGGCGGGUCUCUGGGCCGAUAUUGACGCUGAGGAGCGAAAGCGUGGGGAGCGAACAGG
rnacentral:rRNA from 1 species